GCGGUUAUACGAGGGGCCCAAGUUGAUAGAUAACGGCGUAAAGGGUGGUUAGGGAACAUCAUAUAGUAAAGCCGAACAUCUUCAAUGUUGUUAUAAGCUCUCGAAGAUUGGAAGCCCCACCACGAAAGUGGCUUUACCGCUCCUGAACCCACGAAAGCCAGGGAA
rnacentral:rRNA from 1 species